ACUGCUUUGCUGAGUCAUUCUACUAUGCGGCCCCUCAGACACAAAGCCCGGCGGCCACCUGCCCACAGAGUCACAGAAGGCCAGCCAACUGCAAGCUCGGAACUUCAGGAUCUUGCUUUUCGGAUUAUUUUCACUACUGUAAUUUUUUUGUCCUUAGAAACAGAGAAAGAGACCACGUACUGCAUUUCUGUCCCAUGCUGAAAAGGACACUCUGUCAGAGAAUCUUCUAUCAAACUUCAAAGAGCAAAAUCACCCUUUGUUAUGGAUAAAGUCCAGAGAGCUUCAGCAGCUAACAUUCCCUGGACAGGGUACAGCAAGGAUUUGAACCUAGGCCAGUCUGGCCAGAACACUCACAAGCUUUCCUUAACUCAGAGGGCUAUCUCCCCAAGACUAGGUCACUACUGCUUUAUAAUCACCUUUGUAGCCACCAGUGGAUUUUGCUCAUCAGUAUUUUCCAGGUAAUUGAUACUUUAGAUGUUCAACUGCAAGACGUAUGCAGUUUUCAUUGACAUCUUUUGGAGAAACUGACAAACCUGGACUUGACUUAAUGCCUUUGGAACCUUCCAAGAUGUUAUAUAACUCUAGAUAGAAGGCUGGGCCUCCACAAUGUCAGGAACGUUGCAUUCUUAUUUCGCCAUAGAUAAACCCAUUUGUCCACAAAGUCAAGGAGUCAGGCAGAGGCCCUUGCCAUGGGGCUUUUUAGGAUGGAGUAACACGCUUGGACUUUGCUCUGUGACCGGGUUUUGCAUAGGGAGUGGUAUGACCAGAUCCCUCAAGAAAGAAAGCUUAGAGACCAGGCCAGAGUCCACUGCAGUAGCCCAGUCAAGAGAGGAGGGUGACUUGAACUUUAGUAGAGCCGUUAAAAUGAAAGAAAUUGACACAUUCAGAAAUGGUUUUAGAGGUAGAGUCAAACUGGACCUGAUAAAGAACUAGAGAAAUGGAGUGAGGAUAAAGAGAAGAACCGUGACUGAGUCGGAAGAUUUCGUCUUGAGAAACUUGAGAACUCAAGACAGAGUGAAAUAAAAUCACGUGGGAAAAAUCUCGCGCUUUGUUUUGGACAACUUUGAAGUGAAAUGCCUGUUAAGUCUAAGUGGGGUAGGCCAUGGCGUACAUGAGUGUGGGCUCGGGAUGGAUACAGGCAUUAGUAGUGAGCAAAUAGAACUUAAAGCCAGGAGAGAAGAAGGGGUCACCAAGAGAGACAAUGUGGCAUAGAGAAGAAAAGAGGUGGGAGAUGACCCCUGGGCAGAAAAGUGCUUAGAGCAGAGGCAACAGGCAUGACCAAGAAGACUAAGAAAGGACAUUCAGUACAGCAGAAGGAGAGCAAAGAGUGUGUAGUGUUCUAGAAGCAAAGAGAAUAAAGGGCUUCAGGAAGGAGCAGUCGAGUGUGUCAAAUAAGAUAAAGACAGACAAGUCCCCUGGAUUGGAUAGGAAUAAAUAACAGCAGGCUGCCAUACAAAUGGUUCCAUCUACACCAUCUAAAAGAAUAUUGUUUAUUCUCCAUACAUUUAAUAAACACCUGCCAUAUGCCAGGUAUCCUUUCAAGCACUGAAAUGCAGAGAUUCAUAAAACAUGGUCUCUGCUCUGGAGGAGCUGACAGUGGUGAGGAGGAAACAGGCAACAGCGAGUGUUCCCAUUGCAUUUUUGACCCCAUUGACCUUGCAACAGCCCCAUGCAUCAGUUAUUGCCAUUAUACCAUUUUACCAAUAAGGGAACUGUGACAGGGAGGGGUCAAGCACCUUGGGUAUUUGACAGCAAAACCAAGGCUUGGUGGUAACAUAAAACUUCCAAGUAGUAAUUCACAAAGGUGACUGGGAAAUGGAAAUGACCAGAAAUCUUUGCACUAUGAGGACAAGUUCAUCUGAAAUACAGAUGGACUUAGGAUGACGCUGAUACCUUCUUGUCCAGGUGGUAUAGCUCCAGACCAAAUGUCUGCUGCCACCUACCCAAAAACUUGUUGGGUAAAAAUGGCUACACCUACAGUCAAAUGAUUUUUGAUAAAGGUGCCAAACAGUUAGAUGGGAAAAA